GCCUACGUGAGGCAGCAGUGAGGAAUAUUGGUCAAUGGGCGUAAGCCUGAACCAGCCAAGUCGCGUGAGGGAUGAAGGUUCUAUGGAUCGUAAACCUCUUUUAUAAGGGAAUAAAGUGUGGGACGUGUCCUAUUUUGUAUGUACCUUAUGAAUAAGGAUCGGCUAACUCCGUGCCAGCAGCCGCGGUAAUACGGAGGAUCCGAGCGUUAUCCGGAUUUAUUGGGUUUAAAGGGUGCGUAGGCGGCCUUUUAAGUCAGCGGUGAAAGUCUGUGGCUGAACCAUAGAAUUGCCGUUGAAACUGGGGGGCUUGAGGAUGUUUGAGGCAGGCGGAGUGCGUGGUGUAGCGGUGAAAUGCUUAGAGAUCACGCAGAACCCCGAUUGCGAAGGCAGCCUGCCAAGCCAUGACUGACGCUGAUGCACGAAAGCGUGGGGAUCAAACAGGAUUAGAUACCCGUGUAGUC
rnacentral:rRNA from 1 species